rnacentral:rRNA from 1 species
GAUGAACGCUGGCGGCGUGCUUAACACAUGCAAGUCGAGCGAAGCGCUUAAGUUUGAUUCUUCGGAUGAAGACUUUUGUGACUGAGCGGCGACGGGUGAGUAACGCGUGGGUAACCUGCCUCAUACAGGGGGAUAACAGUUAGAAAUGACUGCUAAUACCGCAUAAGACCACAGGGUCGCAUGACCCGGUGGUAAAAACUCCGGUGGUAUGAGAUGGACCCGCGUCUGAUUAGCUGGUUGGUGGGGUAACGGCCCACCAAGGCGACGAUCAGUAGCCGGCCUGAGAGGGUGAACGGCCACAUUGGGACUGAGACACGGCCCAA